AUGGCCAGGCUUGCUUCCUCAUUCCUGCUGCUGAUUGUCCCUGCCUAUGUCCUGUCCCAGGUUACCCUGAGGGAGUCUGGCCCUGGGCUGUUGCAGUCCUCCCAGACUCUCAGUCUGACCUGCUCUUUCUCUGGGUUUUCACUGAGCACUUCCGGUAUAGGUGUGAACUGGAUCCGUCAGCCCUCAGGGAAGGGUCUGGAGUGGCUGGCCAACAUUUGGUGGGAUGAUGAUAAGUUCUACAACCCAUCCCUGAAGAGCCGGCUCACAAUCACCAAGGACACCUCCAACAACCAGGUAUUCCUAAAGAUGGCCAGUGUGGACACUACAGAUACUGCCACAUACUACUGUGCUCGGAGAGCACAGGGACACAGCCUUGGUUGUCAGCUGUACAAUAGUUCAGGAUGGUUCUCAGCUCAACGCCUUCCUUCUACAAUUCAGGGGUUGGGAGCAGGCAAAGUUUUCCUGCUAGCCUCUGGGGUUUCCUCUUCACUUUGA